AUUGAACGCUGGCGGCAGGCUUAACACAUGCAAGUCGAACGAGUGGCGGACGGGUGAGUAAUGUCUGGGAAACUGCCUGAUGGAGGGGGAUAACUACUGGAAACGGUAGCUAAUACCGCAUACCAUCGGAUGUGCCCAGGUGGGAUUAGCGAGUUGGGGGGGUAAAGGCUCACCUAGGCGACGAUCCCGAGCUGGUCUGAGAGGAUGACCAGCCACACUGGAACUGGGACACGGUCCAGACUCCUACGGGAGGCAGCAGUGGGGAAUAUUGCACAAUGGGCGCAAGCCUGAUGCAGCCAUGCCGCGUGUAUGAAGAAGGCUUUCGGGUUGUAAAGUACUUUCAGCGGGGAGGCGUUACCCGCAGAAGAAGCACCGGCUAACUCCGUGCCAGCAGCCGCGGUAAUAC
rnacentral:rRNA from 1 species